AGCUCACCUGAACGCCUCAACAUUACCUUUGUAAACGACACGUGCAUGGAAGCUGAGUGGUCACCUGGAGCAGGUGUGACAGAACAGUACCGAGUCGAUGUUAUCCACCUGGGUAAAACACCACCACAUGUAACAACACAGACUACCUGGAGUUACUGUGGUCUGUCUCCUGGAGAACUGUUCAACGUCUCUGUCUACGCCAUGAGUAACUCAGUCCUGAGUCGUGUCCCCAUCCGUCUUGGAUUACACGAAUCCCUCCAAACCAAAAAACGGAAGAUUACAUAUCACCAAUUUGAAAUCCUCAGUGCGCUUGCAUGUUUCGUGGAGUCCUGGUUCCACCAAAGACAAAGAAUUUAUUGUCACAGUUGAAAAUAGAACCGACAUUAAUCUAGUUGUGUCCUCGAUAUUAUGGGCUAUUGUUCACAUUUCGUAUGAAUCAAGGUAUACCAUCAAUAUACAAGCUGUGAACCAUGGAAAAAAGAGUUCCCCCUUACAGCUGACGGGAUGCACAGAACCAGGUAGAGUAGAGGAAUUAACCGUUAAGUCUUCGGGUUAUAACUGGAUUGAACUUGAGUGGAGCCCACCUGCUGGAGACGUCGACAGUUUUGAGUAUGAGGUCACAGUUCGCAAACCCGGGUCACGUGAUCUUGUUGAUGUGACUGAUACCAUUCCAUACACGGUGGGCAACCUUACUCCUGGAACAAACUACUACCUGACAGUGAGGGUGAAGUUCUGCAAUUUAACGAGUGACUAUACAACUGUCAGUGAAGCCACAAGUCU